UCGGGACUUCGCUGUGGCCAGUAAUUGGCUGAGUGCAGUAUGACUCACCAACCACCGGCAACCAGGAAGAGGAUCAUGGCAGAGACCGGAGUGAGUUACCGGAGGCAACGGGGGAGCGAAUAAAGUCCUGUACUUUUGGCUUUGGCACAUCAGAUUUAACCCUAAUCUAAGGAAUCUAAAUGAAAGAAAAUGUCUAACAUGGCGCUUCCGAGACUACACCCUGCACGCUCCCAGCAAUAUGGCUGAUAUUUCUUCACAGCCACUGCAUCAUGUUACGAAUAUCGAUUUCCAUGUGACUCCAGAAGCCAUGCACAAGAUGAGCCCAGAUAUGUUAAGUCAGCAAAAUCAAAGGGGAACUAGAGGAAAAGUGAAC